UCCGCGAGAGUAGAAUCGGCUUCCUGUAAGCUUGAAGGUCUCUGUGGCAAGUACCUUUCCGGAUGGUCGCAGUUUUUCCGUGUCCUCUGCGUCGCAGCGCAGACCGCCCACCCUCGUAUCCCAGCCAGCCGAGCUUGGUCCUGGACGCCGUCGCUGGGCUGGGGCACUGAGACCCGAUUGGCUUAUUGAGGAUCCUUUGCCUUUGCCUGGGAGAACAGUUCAGGAGGCAGAUGGCCCCAAGUCUACCAAGAGUCCAAAUCCAGGCAAAAAUCACAAGUAGAUGGAGAGGCAGGCAGAGAGAGACAGACUCGAUCCCAGCACCCUGAGAUCAUGACCUGAGCCGAAGGCAGCGGCUCAACCCACUGAGCCACCCAGGCGCCCCAAUCCUUUUAGUUCUUCCUGAAGAUUAAAUGAAGCUUGCAUAAUUGUAGAAGUUGGGGUGACUAGGGGAAGGCUAAGACAUGAGUGAAGCCAUUACAUCUGAAUGGUCCCAGAGAAAUUUGGAAACAUUUGUGGCCUAGAAUGCCAGGGUGGAGUUUGCCCUUAUCCUGGAGAAAACUGGGUUUUGAAGGAUUUUCAGAAGUUGGCAGGGAGGAAUAUGUAUUUGAGUAUUGUACAAAUUAAGAGUAACAGAAAAUUUUAAAAAUUAAAGAUUACCUGUAUUCCUGUCACACUAACAAUUCAAAUUAUUUCAUUUGAAACUGUUUUGCAUAUGUGUUUUUUAGGUUUGCCCAUUUUUUUUUCCUUUUAAUAUGUCAUAGCCAUUUCUUCCAAUUUGCCCCAGAGUCUGCCAUUUUUUGUAGCUCCUUUUUAUAUUGUAGUCAACCAGCCUGGUGACCUUGAACAAAUUCUUUCAACUCUUUGAGCUUUAGUGUUCUUAGCCACAAAGUAGAUUUACUUUAUGGAUAGUCAUGGUAGAAAUUCAGAGAUAUGAUGUAUAUCCUGGGACUUAGCAUUGUGUCUGGUACAUAUAAGUUGCCAUUGCUAUAUAUACAUAUAUAUAGGUAGAUAUAUGUCUAUAUUUACCUAUAUAUAUUAUGUAAUAUAUAUUAUUUAUCAGUAAAUUCUAGGAUAAAGCCAGUUUUACUCUGCAUGUCUUUUGGAAUUUCAGUUCAUUUGUUGAUUGACAAAUCCUUGGACACUUCCAAAGUGUGCCAACCAGUAUUUUAGGCUGGUGACACAGCAGUGACCCAAGUGGUCCCUAACCUCCUGGAGCUCACAUUAUAGAUGAUACCGACAAUAAAUCUGAUCCUGCCAGGAAGGGAGAAAUCCUGUGAAGAAAGUGAAGUGGUUCAUGGGAUAGAAGGUGGUAGAGGAUGGGAGAAGAUAACUUUCUGGUGAAGUGACAUUGAAGUAAAGAUAUACAAAAUGAGGGAUGAGCAAAUGCUAGGCCCAGAGGAAGGAGCAUGAUCGGUGCGUUGGAAGAGCAGGAGGAGCCCAGUGUGGUUCAAAUGAGGAGCCACUACCUCCCUUUAUCCCUGGCUGGAUUUUCCAGCUUCUUAUCUUCUAAUUUGUUGUUCGUGUGUAACAAGUCUGCUUUCUG